rnacentral:rRNA from 1 species
GAUCCUGGCUUAGGAUGAACGCUAGCUACAGGCUUAACACAUGCAAGUCGAGGGGCAGCGGGAAGUCAGCUUGCUGACUUUGCCGGCGACCGGCGCACAGGUGAGUAACACGUAUCCAACCUUCCCGUUACUCUGGAAUAGCCUUUCGAAAGAAAGAUUAAUACCGGAUAGUAUCGAGAGAUUGCAUGAUUACCCGAUUAAAGAUUCAUCAGUAACGGAUGGGGAUGCGUUCCAUUAGG